GACGACUUUGGGUCCACCUCCCACCCGUGUUUAUUUUACCUUGUUGCUUCGGCGGGCCCGCCUUUACUGGCCGCCGGGGGGCUCACGCCCCCGGGCCCGCGCCCGCCGAAGACACCCCCGAACUCUGUCUGAAGAUUGAAGUCUGAGUGAAAAUAUAAAUUAUUUAAAACUUUCAACAACGGAUCUCUUGGUUCCGGCAUCGAUGAAGAACGCAGCGAAAUGCGAUACGUAAUGUGAAUUGCAAAUUCAGUGAAUCAUCGAGUCUUUGAACGCACAUUGCGCCCCCUGGUAUUCCGGGGGGCAUGCCUGUCCGAGCGUCAUUGCUGCCCUCAAGCCCGGCUUGUGUGUUGGGCCCCGUCCUCCGAUUCCGGGGGACGGGCCCGAAAGGCAGCGGCGGCACCGCGUCCGGUCCUCGAGCGUAUGGGGCUUUGUCACCCGCUCUGUAGGCCCGGCCGGCGCUUGCCGAUCAACCCAAAUUUUUAUCCAGGUUGACCUCGGAUCAGGUAGGGAUACCCGCUGAACUUAAGCAUAUCAAUAAGCGAGGG
rnacentral:rRNA from 1 species